rnacentral:rRNA from 1 species
AUUGAACGCUGGCGGCAUGCCUUACACAUGCAAGUCGAACGGCAGCGGACCUUCGGGUGCCGGCGAGUGGCGAACGGGUGAGUAAUAUAUCGGAACGUACCUUUCAGUGGGGGAUAACGUAGCGAAAGUUACGCUAAUACCGCAUAUUCUGUGAGCAGGAAAGCAGGGGAUCGCAAGACCUUGCGCUGAUUGAGCGGCCGAUAUCAGAUUAGCUAGUUGGUGAGGUAAAGGCUCACCAAGGCGACGAUCUGUAGCGGGUCUGAGAGGAUGAUCCGCCACACUGGAACUGAGACACGGUCCAGGCUCCUACGGGAGGCAGCAGUGGGGAAUUUUGGACAAUGGGCGCAAGCCUGAUCCAGCCAUGCCGCGUGAGUGAAGAAGGCCUCGGUUGU